CAAAUGCACAUUUUAUUAGCCUAAACAACCCACUUUAAUUUUUACACCCACUUUAUGCUCACGAGGAAGUUAUAAGAUCUAAUUAAAAAAGCAAAAUUAAUUUUGUUUAUUCUAAUAAUCUACAAGGUAAUAAUGCUCUAUAGUAACGUGUACAUGGAACCAGCAGUCAUUCCGUUGUUUAAGGUAAAAAAAUCCAUGAAACAAUCUGAGAUUACCACGUGAUUCCUUAAGGUUUGUAAAGGAAUUGGAGUCACCUGUAUGAUCUCACAAACGCUGAAGACCCACGUGAUGCUGCCUGAUUAGCUUAGUGGCUGUGUCUCAAUUCAGGGUCUGCAUCCUACGUCGGCCGGAUUCGUCGGCCGGUUACGUCACAGCGCCGCGACUAGGCCUGUCCCAAUUCGAAGACUCCUUCAAAUGCGGUCGACGAAUGUGGCCUUCUUUUCGCCUGAAUGAAGGAUGGGUCCGGUGUAUCCUUCAACAGGUAGCAUUUCCCAAGAUGCCUUGCGGGCCGGCCAGCAGAAAAACUUAAAAACAAUGGCGGACAGUGAAGCGGGAGCUGUCGGAGAGGAUUGCGCAUAUAAAUGAACAAAAGAGAAAACCAGGGAAUUUAUUAAGCUUAGGGCAGAGAUGGACCACAUGAUCACCGGAGCAAAGUAUUCGGCGGCUGUGGCAUGGAGACUAUUCUGGAGAAAAUGGGCAUCCAGGGGAAGGUGCCAGCGAUGACCAGCUUCUGGAUCUGAUCAGGGAGAACAUGAGGCUGCAGAGGGAGGCAGAGGGCCCAGGAGAGAAGGAAUAACUUUGACAGCUUUUUACUUUGCUAGAAAAAAAUGGUUAAUAAAGAUUAAACAUGUACAUAUAAAAGAAAUAUCUAAAUAAAAUCAGUUCUGCAUUAAA